GACGAACGCUGGCGGCGUGCCUAAUACAUGCAAGUAGAACGCAGUUGCGAACGGGUGAGUAACGCGUAGGUAACUGCCUGGUAGCGGGGGAUAACUAUUGGAAACGAUAGCUAAUAACGCAUACUACCAGAUGGACCUGCGUUGUAUUAGCUAGUUGGUGAGGUAACGGCGCACCAAGGCAACGAUACAUAGCCGACUGGGGGUGGGGAACGACCAAACUGGGACUGAGAGACGGCCCAGACUCCUAAGGGGGGGAGCAGGAGGGAAUCUUCGGAAAUGGGGGGAAACCUUACCGAGGAACUCCGCGGGAGUGAAGAAGGUUUUCGGAUCGUAAAGCGCGGUUGUGAAGGAAGCGGUACGUAACCAGAAAGGGACGGCUAACUACGUGCCAGCAGCCGCGGUAAUUC
rnacentral:rRNA from 1 species